rnacentral:rRNA from 1 species
UACGUAGGUGGCAAGCGUUGUCCGGAAUUAUUGGGCGUAAAGAGCGUGUAGGCGGCCAGGUAGGUGGGUUGUGAAAACUGGAGGCUCAACCUUCAGACGUCGACCCAAACCCCCUGGCUAGAGUCCGGAAGAGGAGAGUGGAAUUCCUGGUGUAGCGGUGAAAUGCGCAGAUAUCAGGAGGAACACCGGUGGCGAAGGCGGAUCUCUGGGCCGAUACUGACGCUGAGGAGCGAAAGCGUGGGGAGCGAACAGG